CAGUAAAGGAGCUUGCUCCUUGACGUUAGCGGCGGACGGGUGAGUAACACGUGGGUAACCUACCUAUAAGACUGGAAUAACUCCGGGAAACCGGGGCUAAUGCCGGAAACAUUUAGAACCGCAUGGUUCUAAAGUGAAAGAUGGUUUUGCUAUCACUUAUAGAUGGACCCGCGCCGUAUUAGCUAGUUGGUAAGGUAACGGCUUACCAAGGCAACGAUACGUAGCCGACCUGAGAGGGUGAUCGGCCACACUGGGAACUGAGACACGGUCCCAGACUCCUACGGGAGGCAGGCAGUAGGGAAUCUUCCGGCAUUGGGCCGAA
rnacentral:rRNA from 1 species